GACAAUGACAGGUUCAGGGGAGGUCACCACUUCCCUAUCAAAAGGGUCGGGGAUAUGCGGUUUAAGUAAGGAGACAUGGAAUACUGGAUGAAGUUUGAAAUUUGGAGGAAGUUUUAGUUUAACAACGUUGUCAUUGACUACUGCUAUUAUUUGAAAAGGACCAAGAAAAAGAGAACUCAAUUUUUAUCGAGGGGCGGUUGGUG